GCCCAGCCCUGGAUGCCCAGCUGUUCCCACUCGGUGAUCAGGACUGAGCACCGAGGGCUCACAAUGGAACUUACGCUCAGCUGGGUUUUUCUUGUUGCUGUCUUAAAAGGUGUCCAGUGUGAGGUGCAGCUGGUGGAGUCCGGGGGAGGCUUGGUGCAGCCUGGGGAUUCCCUGAAACUCUCCUGUUUGGCUUCGGGAUUCACCUUCAGUGACUACUGGAUGUACUGGAUCCGCCAGGCUCCAGGGAAGGGGCUGGAGUGGCUUGGGGAAAUUAAAUCAGAUAGUAGUACCAUAAACUACGCAGCCUCCGUGAAGGGCCGAUUCACCAUCUCCAGAGACAACGCCAAGAACACUCUGUACCUGCAAAUGAACAGCCUAAGGACCGAGGACUCGGCCUUAUAUUACUGCAGUAGAUACACAGUGAGGGGACAUCAUUGUGAGCCCAGACACAAACCUCCCUGCAGGGGCGUUCAGGACCAGCAGGGGGCGCUGGGAAUACAGAGAGAACCAAGAUGUUUUCUUGUUAGGAUCUGA